rfam:Brachypodium distachyon strain Bd21 chromosome 4, whole genome shotgun sequence.
AUUGUACUCCCUCAAUUCCAUAAUUCUUGUCGAAAUAUUACAUGUAUUUAGACGCUUUUUAGGAAUAGAUUCAUCCAUUUUUUGACAAAUUUUAGACAAGAAUUAUGGGAUGGAGGGAGUAACAU